rnacentral:tmRNA from 1 species
GGGGCCGUUUUUAGAUUCGACGGGGUUUUGAGAGUGCAAGACUCACAGGUAGAUGACCGCCUAAAGGCAUACCUAAAAAUGAAAUGACAACACUGAAUCUGUCGUAAUGAUCCACCCCGCUUUUGCUGCUUUUGUGGCUGAGAGGGCUGCUGCCUAAUUGGUGGCUGGACUCCAAAACGACGCACCAGCUGGAUAUGGGUAAGCGUCUGCGGUUAAAGAAUCAUCCAGCACAUACAGUUUUUCCUUGUGCUUCUGUUGAAUAAAGACAAGGUGGUGGAGGUGUACAAACCAGUACGCCCUGGGAAAGAUUUGACGAUAUCGCAAGUGCCCGCCGCAAGGCAUCGCUGGAAAAUCGUCUAUUGUGUAAGAAGGUCUUGCUCAUGUAGGAAUUUCGGACAGGGGUGCGAAUCCCCUCGGCUCCACCA